AGGGGAAGGCGGGCCAGUGGGCGGGGCGUGACACGGGCAAGAGGGCCGAGAGAAUCAGCCUUCGCGCUGCAGGCGACCGCGGCCUGCCGGAGUCUUCCAGCGUGCAGUGGGCGUGGUCGGAUGAGGGCUCCGCCCUAGCAGACCGCGAGGAUGAACCUGCUACUCUCUAGGAGCAUCCGACGUCUGUGACCCAGGGCAGUAGGAGGACUGUCUUCGGGAACCGGGAGGAUCAGAAAGUUCCUUUGCGCUAAGGUCCGCCUGUCUCUGCCUCCCUAAUAUUGUGAUUAAAGAAGAGCACUGCCUCACCAGCAU